GAUAAAGAGUAGCCUUUAUAUGAAUAGAUUGCGCAAGAGUUGACGGGUGCGAUCAUACCAGCACUAAUGCACCGGAUCCCAUCAGAACUCCACAGUUAAGCGUGCUUGGGCGAGAGUAGUACUAGGAUGGGUGACCUCUUGGGAAGUCCUCGUGUUGCACCCCUCCCAUUUUAUUUCAUAAAAUGUUUUUUUUUAGCUGCAUUUUUUCGACGUGGUGUAACUCAUUCGUUAUUUGCGUUUUCAGAAAUAAAUAACUUGAAACGAUAUUUGGUCGAAUUUGCAUUUAAAUUCGAGGCGCAAGUGCGAUAAGGGGCAGCCUUUAUAUGAAUAAAUUGCGCAAGAGUUGACGGGUGCGAUCGUACCAGCACUAAUGCACCGGAUUCCAUCAGAACUCCGCAGCUAAGCGUUCUUGGACGAGAGUAGUACUACGAUGGGUGACCUCCUGGAAGUCCUCGUGUUGCACCCCUCCCAUUUUAUUUCAAAUAAUAUUUUUUUUAGUUGCAUUUUCUCGACGUGGUGUAACUCAUUCGUUAUUUGCGUUUUCUGAAAUAAAUAACUUGAAACGAUAUUUGGUCGAAUUUGCAUUUAAAUUCAAGGCGCAAGUGCGAUAAGGGGCAACCUUUAUAUGAAUAGAUUGCGCAAGAGUUGACGGGUGCAAUCAUACCAGCACUAAUGCACUGGAUCCCAUCAGAACUCCGCAGCUAAGCGUUCUUGGGCGAGAGUAGUACUACGAUGGGUGACCUCCUGGGAAGUCCUCGUGUUGCACCCCUCCCAUUUUAUAGCAUAUAAUAUUUUUUUAGUUGCAUUUUCUCGACGUGGUGUAACUCAAUCGUUAUUUGCGUUUUCUGAAAUAAAUAACUUGAAACGAUAUUUGGUCGAAUUUGCAUUCGAGGCGCAAGUGCGAUAAGGGGCAGCCUUUAUAUGAAUAGAUUGCGCAAGAGUUGACGGGUGCGAUCAUACCAGCACUAAUGCACCGGAUCCCAUCAGAACUCCGCAGUGAAGCGUGCUUGGGCGAGAGUAGUACUAGGAUGGGUGACCUCCUGGGAAGUCCUCGUGUUGCACCCCUCCCAUUUUAUUUCAUAUAAUGUUUUUUUUUAGUUGCAUUUUCUCGACGUGGUGUAACUCAUUCUUUAUUUUCGUUUCGUGAAAUAAAUAAUUUGAAACGAUAUUUGGUCGAAUUUGCAUUUAAAUUCGA
rnacentral:lncRNA from 1 species